UAACAAAACCAGAAAAUGAAA
rnacentral:piRNA from 1 species